UACGUAGGGCGCAAGCGUUGUCCGGAUUUAUUGGGCGUAAAGAGCUCGUAGGCGGUUUGUCGCGUCGGAUGUGAAAACCCGGAACUCAACUCCGGGCCUGCAUUCGAUACGGGCAGACUUGAGUACUGCAGGGGAGACUGGAAUUCCUGGUGUAGCGGUGGAAUGCGCAGAUAUCAGGAGGAACACCGGUGGCGAAGGCGGGUCUCUGGGCAGAAACUGACGCUGAGGAGCGAAAGCGUGGGGAGCGAACAGG
rnacentral:rRNA from 1 species